UGUUCCUCUUUUUAUUAUGCUUUCUUUUUUUCUGCGUCCUCGCUGUCGGUUGUCCAGCGUGUCUGAAAAAAAGGGGGCUUCACAAAAAAAGGCGAGAAAGACGGCACCAACAACGACGACAAAAAGGGCACGCCUCGGUACAAAAGAAAAAAAGGGAGAAAAGGCGACAGAGCCGGGCCUAGACGGUGGCGGCGCCGAGGUCGACGGGACUCACGCAAUAGCCGCGGUCGACAAGAUCGCUCACGAGCCGGUAGAGCCACACGCUGUCGACGCCGACGGCGCCCGUCCCCGCGUCCCUCCUGCUGGCGGUGGCGGCAUGGCGCGCCGUGGCCUCGUCGACGAGUCGCGCAUAGUCGGGCCAGCGGUCCCACUCGACGGCCUGGUAAAAGGCCGGCGCCAGGGGCAGGCCAUAGGCACACAGGGCCGCGCUCUGCACCGUGCGCUCGGGCGACAGGGGCGCGAUUCCGUAGCGCGUGAUCCCGCCCGGCAGGCCCGUGGUCGUGAUGACGACGGGGCGCAUGCAGCGGGCCGGAUCAGACGCACCCGCCGUCUCUGCCUGCGCGUCGUCGCCCUCGUGCACGAGCGUCGUGCGGCGCGUGAUGCCCUCGGGCGUGUGCGCCGUGAUGAUCGAGAGCACCCUAUCGCGAUCAAGACCGCUUCCUAGAUAGCGGUGCGACGCCGGGCGGUCGCGUGCGGUCGCCGGAUCGGCAUCACGCACGCCCGACGGACACGCGCACGCGGCCUGGAGUUGUCGGUCAGGAUCGGGGUCGGCGGCCGCCGACGACAGCGCGUCGGUCCAUGCCCAAAAGGCGGCCGCGCGCUGUUUGACCUCAUCUGGUGCCACGGCAUAAAGGUAGACGGGCAGUGGUCGCGCCAGAGCGGCGUCUCCGGCCGGCACCAAGAUUUCUUCAACGGGCUGGCCCACGCCGCCCGACUGCGACACGGGCGCAUCGGCAUAGAGGCAGAGACGCACCAUUGGACGCCCCUUGUCGGCGGUAUGGCCGACCACCGUCGCGACGCGACACAGGCGCUUGUCGCGCGCGUGACGCAGUGCCGCACCGCCCAGAAUCACGCGAUCGCCGGGUGCACACGUGUAGACGAUGCCCGCAUGAGGAUCGGUGUAGGCGCUGUCAACGGUUGAUGGCGUGCCCGCGGGGCUGGCAAUGGUGCUGCGCCGCGGCGAGGCAGUCGAUGCGUGUGCGCCCAUCUUUGUCCUUGGUGGGGAUCGCUUUCUCUCUCUUGGCGGGCGCCCGUGCCGCCCCCUUUUUCAGAGCCCCCUGUUUUUUCCUGCUUUUUUGCGUCGGCGGCCCUUUGUGCCCGUCCUGCCCUCUUUUGUUUGUUGGUAUUUUUUGCGUCCUCGGGUCGGCCUCUGCGGGUCGCCCACAGGUUUUGGGGUGACCAAGAGGACAAAUUGUCUUUUUGCCAGCGCGCGUGUUUGCCUCUUUUUUUUGCACGCGCAGCAUUGUGUCGUAGUGAACCGCGGGCGCGCCCUCGCCCCACAACGGCCGCCCAACGCGAGACAAACCAUGC
rnacentral:lncRNA from 1 species